AGAGUUGAGUCUGGACAUCAUG
rnacentral:miRNA from 1 species